rnacentral:rRNA from 1 species
CCCUUAGAUGUUCUGGGCUGCACGCGCGCUACACUGACGCACGCAACAGGUGCCUGCUCCGAGAGGACUGGGUAAUCAUUUGAGUGUGCGUCGUGAUGGGGAUAGAAUAUUGUAAUUAUUACUCUUCAACGAGGAAUUCCUAGUAAGCGCCAGUCAGCAGCUUGCGCUGAUUACGUCCCUGCCCUUUGUACACACCGCCCGUCGCUCCUACCGAUUGAAUGUUCCGGUGAGCUCUUCGGACUGCGCGGUCUGCAGUUUCUGCGUUCCGUGCGGAAAGUUGCGCAAACCUUAACAUUUAGAGGAAGGAGAAGUCGUAACA